CAAACUCGGAGAUCAGCCCUCCACUGCUAGGAUUAAAGGCGUGGUCCACUUCUCCGGGCGGAUUCCCUGCACAAGCCUCUAAAUUGAGAGCAGCGGGCAGCUGGCUACUAGGCAGCGCCAGUGCCGACAAGCCCGAGGCUAGAAGCCGCUGGAGUGGCCUGGGACUGAGCGCCCCAGGCCGCCCAGCUGACUCCUGCAGCUGUCGCAAAGCUGUCCCCACCAGCGGCCACCCAACUCAGGGCGGAACUCUCUACGCCCAAGAGGAUCGGCAGGCGGCGCUGCUACUCCAGUUGAGCGCAAGGAUCCCUGCUACCGGAGCGCAGAUUGGGGCAACCAGGGCGCAGAUUGGGGCAACCAGGGCGCAGAUUGGGGCAACGGCCGGCCCAGGUGGCGCUCAGGACCGACCAGCAACACCCCGCCCCUGCAGCUGCUUCUUGGCUUGGUGAUCAAGUGCACCAGACUGGGGUCAGUCCUAGGGGAUGUUUCUUGGCACGAGUGCUGGAGACGCCAUGCUUCUCCAACACCCAACCCGGAGGUGUCCGCCCCGCUUCGUGCUUCCUCGGUUAAGCUUCCCUCCUCUGGCAAGACUUUUAGGAAUGGAGCCAGGACUCGGGCAUCGGAGUACAUUCUGAAAACCAGGAGGCUAGACCUUCAUCCAGCAGCUGGUGGAAGUAGAAGCAGACACCCACAGCUAAACCUUGAACUGAACUGAAAUCCAGAUGCAGAGAAGGAGGACUGAUGAGCAAAAGGAUCCAUACCAGGCAGGUGAAAACCACAGAAACAGCUGACCUGAACAACAGGGAGCUCUUGGCCCCUAGACUGAUAGCUGGGAAACCAGCAUGGGACUGAUCCAGACCCCCUGAAUGUGGGUGUCAAUGAGGAGACCUUGGAAAUCUACGGGGCCACUUGUAGUGGAUCAGUACUUAUCACUACCAUAGGAAUGGACUUUAGGAACUCAUCCCACAUGGAGGGAUACUCCCUGAGCCUAGACACAAGGGGGUUGGCCUAGGCCCUAUCCCAUAGAAUAUGACAGACUUUGAAGACCUCCCCCCAUGGAAGGCCUCACCCUUCCUGGAGAGCAGAAAGGGUAUGGGAUGGGUAGGGCGUUAGUUGGGGGGGGGGAGGG
rnacentral:lncRNA from 1 species